AUGAACGCUAGCUACAGGCUUAACACAUGCAAGUCGAGGGGCAUCAGGAAGAAAGCUUGCUUUCUUUGCUGGCGACCGGCGCACGGGUGAGUAACACGUAUCCAACCUGCCCUUUACUCGGGGAUAGCCUUUCGAAAGAAAGAUUAAUACCCGAUGGCAUAAUGAUUCCGCAUGGUUUCAUUAUUAAAGGAUUCCGGUAAAGGAUGGGGAUGCGUUCCAUUAGGUUGUUGGUGAGGUAACGGCCCACCAAGCCUUCGAUGGAUAGGGGUUCUGAGAGGAAGGUCCCCCACAUUGGAACUGAGACACGGUCCAAACUCCUACGGGAGGCAGCAGUGAGGAAUAUUGGUCAAUGGGCGCUAGCCUGAACCAGCCAAGUAGCGUGAAGGAUGAAGGCUCUAUGGGUCGUAAACUUCUUUUAUAUAAGAAUAAAGUGCAGUAUGUAUACUGUUUUGUAUGUAUUAUAUGAAUAAGGAUCGGCUAACUCCGUGCCAGCAGCCGCGGUAAUACGGAGGAUCCGAGCGUUAUCCGGAUUUAUUGGGUUUAAAGGGAGCGUAGGUGGACUGGUAAGUCAGUUGUGAAAGUUUGCGGCUCAACCGUAAAAUUGCAGUUGAUACUGUCAGUCUUGAGUACAGUAGAGGUGGGCGGAAUUCGUGGUGUAGCGGUGAAAUGCUUAGAUAUCACGAAGAACUCCGAUUGCGAAGGCAGCUCACUGGACUGCAACUGACACUGAUGCUCGAAAGUGUGGGUAUCAAACAGGAUUAGAUACCCUGGUAGUCCACACAGUAAACGAUGAAUACUCGCUGUUUGCGAUAUACAGUAAGCGGCCAAGCGAAAGCAUUAAGUAUUCCACCUGGGGAGUACGCCGGCAACGGUGAAACUCAAAGGAAUUGACGGGGGCCCGCACAAGCGGAGGAACAUGUGGUUUAAUUCGAUGAUACGCGAGGAACCUUACCCGGGCUUAAAUUGCAGUGGAAUGAUGUGGAAACAUGUCAGUGAGCAAUCACCGCUGUGAAGGUGCUGCAUGGUUGUCGUCAGCUCGUGCCGUGAGGUGUCGGCUUAAGUGCCAUAACGAGCGCAACCCUUAUCUUCAGUUACUAACAGGUCAUGCUGAGGACUCUGGAGAGACUGCCGUCGUAAGAUGUGAGGAAGGUGGGGAUGACGUCAAAUCAGCACGGCCCUUACGUCCGGGGCUACACACGUGUUACAAUGGGGGGUACAGAAGGCAGCUAGCGGGUGACCGUAUGCUAAUCCCAAAAUCCUCUCUCAGUUCGGAUCGAAGUCUGCAACCCGACUUCGUGAAGCUGGAUUCGCUAGUAAUCGCGCAUCAGCCACGGCGCGGUGAAUACGUUCCCGGGCCUUGUACACACCGCCCGUCAAGCCAUGGGAGCCGGGGGUACCUGAAGUACGUAACCGCAAGGAUCGUCCUAGGGUAAAACUGGUGACUGGGGCU
rnacentral:rRNA from 1 species